rnacentral:rRNA from 1 species
GUCAAGUAAGAAUACCCGCUGAACUUAAGCAUAUCAAUAAGCGGAGGAAAAGAAACUAACUAGGAUUCCCUUAGUAACGGCGAGCGAACUGGGAAGAGCUCAAAUUUUAAAUCACUUUGGUGAAUUGUAAUUUGAAGAAAGUGUUUUGACUUUUCAGUUUAAUCUAAAUCCUUUGGGAUGAGGUAUCAUAGAGGGUGAGAAUCCCGUUCGUGAUUAAACCUCGGAUUGCACUAAUUCACUUUCUAAGAGUCGAGUUGUUUGGGAUUGCAGCUCUAAAUGGGUGGUAAAUUUCACCUAAGGCUAAAUAUAUGCAAGAGACCGAUAGCGAACAAGUACCGUGAGGGAAAGAUGAAAAGAACUUUGAAAAGAGAGUUAAACAGUACGUGAAAUUGUUGAAAGGGAAACGAUUGAAGUCAGUCAUGCUAGUGAGGAAUCAACUUGGUGGUUUACUUCCUUGUGUAUUUUCUUACUUGGCAGGUUAGCAUCAAUUUUGGUUGUCAUCAAAUAAUUGGGGGAAUGUGGCUUUUCUUCGGGAAAGUGUUAUAGACCUUGAUAGAUGUGGCGACUGAGAUUGAGGUUUGCAGCGGAUGCCUUUGGCUAGUCAUCUGUCUUCUGACCGUCACCUCGCUUUUGACAGCUUGCUGAUGAUUGCGGGAUUUGGUGGCCUAGAAGUUAGAAUGUACAUAAAUUCGCUAAGGGUGCUGACGUAAUGGCUUUAAACGACCCGUCUUGAAACACGGACCAAGGAGUCUAACAUAUAUGCGAGUGUU